ACGGAGGAUGCAAGCGUUAUCCGGAUUCAUUAGGUAUAAAGGGUGCGUAGGCGGAUUUGUAAGUCAGUGGUGAAAUACUAUAGCUUAACUAUAGAACUGCCAUUGAUACUGCAAGUCUUGAGUACAAUUGAGGUAGGCGGAAUGUGUGGUGUAGCGGUGAAAUGCUUAGAUAUGACGCAGAACACCGAUUGCGAAGGCAGCUUACUAAGCUAUAACUGACGCUGAUGCACGAAAGCAUGGGGAGCAAACAG
rnacentral:rRNA from 1 species